UCGCUGCUUUUUAUUCUGACUCACGCGCUGCACAACAGAAGCGCCGCAUUUAAUCACUCCGCAACUGACUCCCAGAUACUCAAAUAGAUACUCGGAUACACAGAUACUGGUACUCGUACUCUUAUUCGUACUCGUACUCACACCUCUCCGUGGGCCAUCAGUCUCGGGCCAGACAAUCUGUCAAACAGUCACGCUGACAGGCAUUUCCACUUAAAACAAUGCCAAACAGCAACAGCUGCGGAAAAACUCCUCAUUUCACUCGCCGCACUACGCUGUAAUUUAUCCGGAUUCGGAUUCGUAUUCGGAUUCGGCUUUGGGAUGUGGAAAACUCGCUGAGCCGGCAAGACAUUUCAGAUUGAGUUUAUCAGCAGGCGAGUGCUUAAGUCGUUAGUUCGAAUUCGGGCUGAUUGACUUUAUUACAACAAUUCAUUUCAGGCGGUGCAAGUUUUUAAGAACUUUGAAUUCAGCAAAGGAUGCAUUUUAUCUUGUGAAAUCUUAUUAUCCUUAAGAUGAAACAAACUGACUUCAGAGAGAUUCAGAAGCAAAAUGACUAGUUUUCAUUUGAUCACAUUUAAGUGGUCUCUGCAGCAAUCAGUUCACACUGCGAACCAAAAUUAUUUACCGAGAACCACCGCUGUGGCAUAAAGUGCAUAAUAAAAGCAAGAGUUGGCAACAG